CCUACGGGAGGCAGCAGUAGGGAAUAUUCCACAAUGAGCGAAAGCUUGAUGGAGCGACACAGCGUGCACGAUGAAGGCCCUCGGGUUGUAAAGUGCUGUUGCAAGGGAAGAACACUUAGUUGAGGAAAUGCAACUAAGCUGACGGUACCUUGUUAGAAAGCGAUGGCUAACUAUGUGCCAGCAGCCGCGGUAAUACAUAGGUCGCAAGCGUUAUCCGGAAUUAUUGGGCGUAAAGCGUUCGUAGGCUGUUUAUUAAGUCUGGAGUCAAAUCCCAGGGCUCAACCCUGGCUCGCUUUGGAUACUGGUAAACUAGAGUUGGAUAGAGGUAAGCGGAAUUCCAUGUGAAGCGGUGAAAUGCGUAGAUAUAUGGAAGAACACCAAAGGCGAAGGCAGCUUACUGGGUCUAUACUG
rnacentral:rRNA from 1 species